UGCGGCUGCUUACACAUGCAGUCGAGCGAUCAUGCCGAGCUGGCUGCCCUGAUUUGCGGAGGACGGGUGAGUAAUACAUGUGUGACCUGUGCCUGACUCAGGGAGAUACCUGCGAAAAAGGGGCUAAUACUGGAUAUGACCUCUUACCCCAUGGUGGGUGGUGGAAAGGGUUUUAUUGGUUUUGGAUGGGCUCAUGGCCUAUCAGCUUGUUGGUGGGGUAAUGGCUCACCAGGGCGACAACGGGUAACCGGCCUGAGAAGGUGACCGGCCACCCUGCGACUGAGACACGGCCCACACUCCUACGGGAGGCAGGAGUGGGGAAUAUUGCACAAUGGGCGGAAGCCUGAUGCACCGACGCCGCGUGACGGAUGACGGCCUUCGGGUUGUAAACCUCUUUCAUUAGGUAAUAAGCGAGAAUGACGGUCCCUGCAAAAGAGGCGCCGGCUAACUACGUGCCAACAGCCGCGCUAAUACAUAUGGCGCACGCGUUGUCCGGAAUUAUUGGGCGUAAAGAGCUCGUACGCGGUUUGUCGCGUCUGCUGUGAAAGCCCGGGGCUCAACCCCGGGUCUGCAAUGGCCACGGGCAGACUAGAGUGGGGUAUGGGAGACUGGAAUUCCUGGUGUAGCGGUGAGAUGCGCGGAUAUCACGAGGAACACCGAUGGCGAAAGCAAGUCUCUGGGAUGUCACUGACGCUGAGGAACGAAAGCAUGUGGAGCGAACAUGAUUAGAUACCCUGGUAGUCCAUGCCGUAAACGUUGAGCCCUAGGUGUGGGGGACAUUCCACAUUUUCCGCGCCGUAGCUAACGCAUUAACUGCUUCGCCUGGGGAGUACCGCCUCAAGGCUAAAACUCGAGAGAAUUGACGGGGGCCCGCACAAGCGGCGGAGCGUGCGGAUCCACUCGAUGCAACGCGGAGAACCUUUCCAAUGCUAGACAUUCACCAUACCGUACCACAGAUGUGCUAUCCCUUCGUGCCUGAUGAAAACGGAGUGCAUGUUUGUCGUCAACUCGUGUCG
rnacentral:rRNA from 1 species